CGGGAGGCAGCAGUAGGGAAUUUUUCCGCAAUGGACGAAAGUCUGACGGAGCAACGCCGCGUGAGUGAUGAAGGUUUUCGGAUCGUAAAGCUCUGUUGUUAGGGAAGAACAAGUGCGAGAGUAACUGCUCGCACCUUGACGGUACCUAACCAGAAAGCCACGGCUAACUACGUGCCAGCAGCCGCGGUAAUACGUAGGUGGCAAGCGUUGUCCGGAAUUAUUGGGCGUAAAGGGCUCGCAGGCGGUUUCUUAAGUCUGAUGUGAAAGCCCCCGGCUCAACCGAGGAGGGUCAUUGGAAACUGGGAAACUUGAGUGCAGAAGAGGAGAGUGGAAUUCCACGUGUAGCGGUGAAAUGCGUAGAGAUGUGGAGGAACACCAGUGGCGAAGGCGACUCUCUGGUCUGUAACUGACGCUGAGGAGCGAAAGCGUGGGGAGCGAACAGGAUUAGAUACCCUGGUAGUCCACGCCGUAAACGAUGAGUGCUAAGUGUUAGGGGGUUUCCGCCCCUUAGUGCUGCAGCUAACGCAUUAAGCACUCCGCCUGGGGAGUACGGUCGCAAGACUGAAACUCAAAGGAAUUGACGGGGGCCCGCACAAGCGGUGGAGCAUGUGGUUUAAUUCGAAGCAACGCGAAGAACCUUACCAGGUCUUGACAUCCUCUGACAACCCUAGAGAUAGGGCUUUCCCUUCGGGGACAGAGUGACAGGUGGUGCAUGGUUGUCGUCAGCUCGUGUCGUGAGAUGUUGGGUUAAGUCCCGCAACGAGCGCAACCCUUGAUCUUAGUUGCCAGCAUUUAGUUGGGCACUCUAAGGUGACUGCCGGUGACAAACCGGAGGAAGGUGGGGAUGACGUCAAAUCAUCAUGCCCCUUAUGACCUGGGCUACACACGUGCUACAAUGGACAGAACAAAGGGCUGCGAGACCGCAAGGUUUAGCCAAUCCCAUAAAUCUGUUCUCAGUUCGGAUCGCAGUCUGCAACUCGACUGCGUGAAGCUGGAAUCGCUAGUAAUCGCGGAUCAGCAUGCCGCGGUGAAUACGUUCCCGGGCCUUGUACACACCGCCCGUCACACCACGAGAGUUUGUAACACCCGAAGUCGGUGAGGUAACCUUUAUGGAGCCAGCCGCCGAAGGUUGGACAGAA
rnacentral:rRNA from 1 species